GCGAUGGCGCUACAACACGCUACAGCAGGUCCGUUUGACAAGAAACACUUCUGUUACAGACACUUGUCUUACUUUGUUAAAGCGGUUUACCUGUCCAGCAGAAAGGUUACAGGGUCACCAAGAUCCCCAAGCGUCCCCCAUGGUUUAUGUUGACCCGGCUUUUUAGCUCUUGUCCGGUCUACCUCCGUUUUAAGCGCCCGUUAUUCCUCCAGAGUCUCCGGUAUUUACUUUGUUUUCUUGCUUGUGUCGGCAGUCGUGGCCAAAGGAGGAUUCAGACAAUUUUCCGAACUUUCUGGUUGGUUUCUACUGUCCGAUAUUGUAGCACGCUAACUUUGUUUGGGCUCCUGAACGACACGGGGGAGCAGCAUUUUCUUGCUGACUGUUUUCUUGUUGACUGUUUUCUUGCUGACUGUUUUUUGUUGACCAUUUUCCUGUUGACUGGUUUGGUGUUGACUGUUUUCUUGCUGACUGUUUAUGUUUGAGUGUUUUCUUGCUGGCUGUUUUCUUGUUGACUGUUUUCUUGCUGACUGUUUUCUUGCUGACUGUUUGUGGUUGACUGUUUUCUUGUUGAUUGUGGUUGACUGUUAUCUUGUUGACUGUUUUCUUGUUGACUGUUUUCUUUUUGACAGGUUUGGUGUUGACUGUUUUCUUGCUGACUGUUUUCCUGUUGACUGUUUUCUUGCUGACUGUUUUCUUGUUGACUGUUAUCUUGUUGACUGUUAUCUUGUUGACUGUUUUCUUGUUGACUGUUUUCUUGCUGACUGUUUUUUGUUGACUGUUUUCUUGUUGACUGAUUAUGGUUGACGUUUUCUUGCUGACUGUUUUCUUGUUGACUGUUUUCUUGUUGACUGUUUUUUGUUGACUGUUUUGGUGUUGACUGGUUUGGUGUUGACUGGUUUGGUGUUGACUGUUAUCUUGUUGACUGUUUUCUUGCUGACUGUUUUUUGUUGACUGUUUUGGUGUUGACUGUUUAUGGUUGACUAAUUUUCUUGCUGACUCUUUUCUUGCUGACUGUUUAUGUUUGAGUGUUUUCUUGCUUGUGUCGGCAGUCGUGGCCAAAGGAGGAUUCGGACAAUUUUCCGAACUUUCUGGUUGGUUUCUACUGUCCGAUAUUGUAGCACGCUAACUUUGUUUGGGCUCCUGAACGACACGGGGGAGCAGCGUCUGCCUCACAACCAAUCAGGUUAGAGGAGGUGGAGAACGGCUUUGUUUACAGUCAGAAAGAGCGGACCGCUCAAAAAUGUUCAAAUGUUGACGACACAGACAUAAGAGAACACAGAGAUAUCGAUAUAUUACCAAAUGUCAUCAAUAACUAAUAACUAUUGACUGAUAUUCAAAGAUUUUUGUAUUAAAACCACAAAAUAAAAAGAUGCUUCUUUAACAGAUUCCUGUCUACUUCACCUUUAAGUCGGUUUUCU